rnacentral:tRNA from 1 species
GAAAAAGUACGCAAGAACUGCUAAUUCAUGCGUCCAUGYAUAAAAUCAUGGCUUUUUCA